GUUGCUCCCCUCAGAAGCAGCCAGACAUCACCGGGCCCUCAGCACACACAACCACAGCAGAAGUGCCCGUCUGAAGGGGAAUUUUUUUUUUUUAAUGAAAGAGCCCUUUCAACUCCAGAAGUUACCAGAGGAUGUGGCAAAGCCACUCCAAAUUCCCUGGAGCAGCCCCUGGGAGACUGAUUUACCUGGAGCUGGGAGCAGCAGGCAGUUUAGUGAGCCCUGGGAGUGAGGGAUUAUGAAAGAAAGUGAGUGUUCCAACUAAAAACAAAGAAGAAGAAAAGGGAAGAAGGCUGGAGGUUUGGUGUCAGCCUUCAAGCUGUGAGAAUUCCCUUAAAAACACAGGAAGGGCUCCCAACAAAAUUCACCCCAGAGCAGCUGUGCAGGAUUCAGCUCCUGAAGGAUUUCCUCCUCACCAUGAAUUAACAACAGCACUGUCAAACAUUCCACCAUGGAAUUCCACACUGGUUUGGGUUGGAAAGGACAUCAAGGAUUAUCCCAUUCCAGCCCAGCCAGCAAUUCCUUCCCAAUAUCCCAGUAUCCCAUCUAUCCCUGCUCAGCUUCAGCUUCACACUGAGAAUAAAAUGUCUCUGUAACAAUG